rnacentral:rRNA from 1 species
ACGCUGGCGGCGUGCCUAAUACAUGCAAGUAGAACGCUGAAGGAGGAGCUUGCUUCUCUGGAUGAGUUGCGAACGGGUGAGUAACGCGUAGGUAACCUGCCUGGUAGCGGGGGAUAACUAUUGGAAACGAUAGCUAAUACCGCAUAACAGCAGAUGUUGCAUGACAUUUGCUUAAAAGGUGCAAUUGCAUCACUACCAGAUGGACCUGCGUUGUAUUAGCUAGUUGGUGGGGUAACGGCUCACCAAGGCGACGAUACAUAGCCGACCUGAGAGGGUGAUCGGCCACACUGGGACUGAGACACGGCCCAGACUCCUACGGGAGGCAGCAGUAGGGAAUCUUCGGCAAUGGACGGAAGUCUGACCGAGCAACGCCGCGUGAGUGAAGAAGGUUUUCGGAUCGUAAAGCUCUGUUGUAAGAGAAGAACAGGUGUGAGAGUGGAAAGUUCACACUGUGACGGUAUCUUACCAGAAAGGGACGGCUAACUACGUGCCAGCAGCCGCGGUAAUACGUAGGUCCCGAGCGUUGUCCGGAUUUAUUGGGCGUAAAGCGAGCGCAGGCGGUUAGAUAAGUCUGAAGUUAAAGGCUGUGGCUUAACCAUAGUACGCUUUGGAAACUGUUUAACUUGAGUGCAAGAGGGGAGAGUGGAAUUCCAUGUGUAGCGGUGAAAUGCGUAGAUAUAUGGAGGAACACCGGUGGCGAAAGCGGCUCUCUGGCUUGUAACUGACGCUGAGGCUCGAAAGCGUGGGGAGCAAACAGGAUUAGAUACCCCUGGUAGUCCACGCCGUAAACGAUGAGUGCUAGGUGUUAGACCCUUUCCGGGGUUUAGUGCCGCAGCUAACGCAUUAAGCACUCCGCCUGGGGAGUACGACCGCAAGGUUGAAACUCAAAGGAAUUGACG